rnacentral:rRNA from 2 species
GCUUGCACCUGAUUGAUUUUGGUCGCCAACGAGUGGCGGACGGGUGAGUAACACGUAGGUAACCUGCCCAGAAGCGGGGGACAACAUUUGGAAACAGAUGCUAAUACCGCAUAACAACGUUGUUCGCAUGAACAACGCUUAAAAGAUGGCUUCUCGCUAUCACUUCUGGAUGGACCUGCGGUGCAUUAGCUUGUUGGUGGGGUAAUGGCCUACCAAGGCGAUGAUGCAUAGCCGAGUUGAGAGACUGAUCGGCCACAAUGGGACUGAGACACGGCCCAUACUCCUACGGGAGGCAGCAGUAGGGAAUCUUCCACAAUGGGCGCAAGCCUGAUGGAGCAACACCGCGUGAGUGAAGAAGGGUUUCGGCUCGUAAAGCUCUGUUGUUAAAGAAGAACACGUAUGAGAGUAACUGUUCAUACGUUGACGGUAUUUAACCAGAAAGUCACGGCUAACUACGUGCCAGCAGCCGCGGUAAUACGUAGGUGGCAAGCGUUAUCCGGAUUUAUUGGGCGUAAAGAGAGUGCAGGCGGUUUUCUAAGUCUGAUGUGAAAGCCUUCGGCUUAACCGGAGAAGUGCAUCGGAAACUGGAUAACUUGAGUGCAGAAGAGGGUAGUGGAACUCCAUGUGUAGCGGUGGAAUGCGUAGAUAUAUGGAAGAACACCAGUGGCGAAGGCGGCUACCUGGUCUGCAACUGACGCUGAGACUCGAAAGCAUGGGUAGCGAACAGGAUUAGAUACCCCUGGUAGUCCAUGCCGUAAACGAUGAGUGCUAUGUGUUUGGAGGGUUUCCGCCCCUCAGUGACGGAGCUAACGCAUUA